rnacentral:rRNA from 1 species
UGGGAAUAUACAUUUGUAUGUUGGUAGGAGAGCGUUGUGUAAGGGGUGAAGUCGUAGCGAAAGCGGCGGUGGACUUUACACAAGUGAGAAUGCCGGAAUGAGUAGCGAGAAUUAUGUGAGAAUCAUAAUGGCCGAAAGACUAAGGUUUUAGAAGGAAGGUUCGUCCGCUUCUAGUUAGCCGGGAGCUAAGGCGAGGCCGAGAGGCGUAGUCGAUGCACAUACGGUUGAGAUUCCGUAGCUACCUUGCAUUUAAGCGAAGGGACACAUUUGAAGGGCAUGACCCGGGCGUUGGUUGACCCGGGCGUAAGGGACCGAAAAUAAGUAGGGAAGCAUGCUUGGAUGGUGGCGAGAAAAGCUUCGUGUAUAUAAGCAGGGUACCCGUACUGCAAACCGACACAGGUAGUCAGGAAGAGGAUUCUAAGGCCAUCGGGAGAAGCGUUGUUAAGGAACUCGGCAAAUUGACCCCGUAACUUCGGAAUAAGGGGUGCUCACGCGAGUGAGCCGCAGUGAAUAGGUCCAGGCAACUGUCUAUCAAAAACACAGCUCUCUGCUAAAUCGUAAGAUGACGUAUAGGGGGUGACACCUGCCCGGUGCUGGAAGGUUAAGAGGAGGGGUGCAAGCUCCGAAUUGAAGCCCCAGUAAACGGCGGCCGUAACGAUAACGGUCCUAAGGUAGCGAAAUUCCUUGUCGGGUAAGUUCCGACCCGCACGAAUGGUGUAAUGAUCUGGACACUGUCUCAACAACGCACCCGGCGAAAUUGUAGUACCGGUGAAGAUGCCGGUUACCCGCGGCAAGACGGAAAGACCCCAUGGAGCUUCACUGUAGCCUGAUAUUGGGUCUCGGUAUUUUAUGUACAGGAUAGGCGGGAGACUUGGAAACCAGCACGCCAGUGUUGGCGGAGUCACCCUUGGGAUACCGCUCUUAAAGUAUUGAGAUUCUAACCUGCAGCCAUGAAUCUGGCUGGGGGACAUUGUCAGGUGGGCAGUUUGACUGGGGCGGUCGCCUCCAAAAGAGUAACGGAGGCGUUCAAAGGUUCACUCAGCAUGGACGGAAACCAUGCCUUAGAGUGCAAACGCAUAAGUGAGCCUAACUGCGAGACUGACGGGUCGAGCAGUAACGAAAGUUGGAGUUAGUGAUCCGGCGGUAUGUGAGUGGAGAUGCCGUCGCUCAACGGAUAAAAGCUACCCUGGGGAUAACAGGCUGAUCUCCCCCAAGAGUCCACAUCGACGGGGAGGUUUGGCACCUCGAUGUCGGCUCAUCACAUCCUGGGGCUGAAUUCGGUCCCAAGGGUUCGGCUGUUCGCCGAUUAAAGUGGUACGCGAGCUGGGUUCAGAACGUCGUGAGACAGUUCGGUCCCUAUCUGUCGUGGGCGUAGGAUAUUUGAAGGGCGCUGUUCCUAGUACGAGAGGACCGGAAUGGACGCACCGCUGGUGUAUCGGUUGUCAUGCCAAUGGCACGGCCGAACAGCUAUGUGCGGAUGGGAUAAACGCUGAAAGCAUCUAAGCGUGAAGCCCUCCCUAAGAUAAGAUAUCCCACUGUUUACAGUUAAGACCCCUUAUGGACUAUGAGGUUGAUAGGCUGCGUGUGUAAGUAUGGUGACAUAUUUAGCUAGGCAGUACUAAUAGGUCGAGGGCUUGACC